rnacentral:pre_miRNA from 1 species
UUAACUCAAAUUUGUAUGAAAUUGGAACGUUUGCCUACGUUUGCCGCUAGGGGCGCUGUUCCAACUAUAUACAAAUUUGAGUUA